GAAACUAAUUUUAUUUUAGAUAAUAAAAUAUAUAUCAUUUUGUAUAUAAUUUCUAUAAUGAGCUUGAACAUAAGAAACUAUUAAGUAAAGAAAUUCCAAGUAGAAUUCAGUUAAAUAAAAACUAUAGAGAAAAAUGUAAUAUUGGACAUUGAAGAGAAAAUUUUUUAGAAGUGAGAUGACCUGGUCUUUUCUAUUAGAAGAGAUCGUCAAUAUGCCCCAGUAGUGUGCUUUUACUACUUAAUAAACAGUAUUUUGUUACUUUUAUAACAUUUUAUAACAAUUACACUAUAUCUACCCUCUAAUAUUUAUUAAGUAGUAGUUGUUUCUGGGCAUAGCAACAUUUUAAAAGCAUGUUUUGCUUCAACACUUUUCACAUAUGAAUCAAGUACAUGAUUAAUAUACACAAUUCUUCAAAAUAUUUAAAACUACACAUUAAGCAACAUACAUUGAACCUGCAGAUAAAAUCUCAUCUUUUAUUUAUAUACUAUGCUAGAAAGGAGUGAUGUUGUUAAAUAAACUUCCACGAAUUCAUAUAAAUGAAACAAAUUCAUAUAAAUGAAAGCAAAGAAAUGAAACGCCAAAAGAUGAAGAAAUUGUUAGGACACAAAAAAUAAAGGCAUAUAUGUGAUGAUACAUUCUCUGACAUGCACAAAUGUCCUUUGAAAUAAUUAAAGCCAGCCUGGCACAGCGGCUCACACCUCUAAUCCCAGCACUUUGGGAGGCCGAGGUGGGAGGAUCCUUUGAAGCCAGGAGUUCCAGACCAGUCUGGAAAACGUGAGACCUCCCUUAUCUCUACAAAAAAGUUAAAAAAUCAGCCGGGUGUGUGUGGUGGCAAACACUUGUAGUCCCAGCUCCUCAAGAGGUGAGUGUGGGGGAUUGCUAGAGCCCCAGAGGUCAAGGUUGCAGUGAGCCAUGAUCAUGCCACUGCACUCCAACCUGGAUGACAGAGUGAGACCCUGUCUUUAAAAAAAAAAAAAAAAAAAGUGAGAGCCACAUUAUUUGGGUAACGGCUGGCAAAAAACUCUUUGUUGAUAGUAUAAGCUAUUUUACACUCUAUUUCAACUAAAGAAUUUAUUGGGUAUUUCAGAAAUGAAUGAUUGCGUUUUCUAAGUGACAGAAAAAUGGUUUGAUGAAAUUAUAUUCAUGGCGGAUUUCAUAGAUGGAAAAAAUUAGAACAGUGACCAGCAAAAAGCAAGCUUUCCUUUAGCAUUAGAAAUUAUUUAACACCAGGCUCGUCGCAGUGGCUCAUGCCUGUAAACCUAGUGUCUCCGGAAUUGGUGGGUUCUUGGUCUCACUGACUUCAAGAAUGAAGCCGUGGACCCUCGCGGUGAGUGUUACAGCUCUUAAGGUGGCGCGUCUGGAGUCUGUCCCUUCUGAUGUUCAGAUGUGUCCGGAGUUUCUUCCUUCUGGUGGGUUCGCCGUCUCGCUGGCUCACGAGGGAAGCUGCAGACCUUGGCAGUGAGUGUUACAGCUCUUAAGGCAGCGCGUCGGAGUUGUUCGUUCCUCUCGCUGGGCUUAGGAGUGAAACUGCAGAUCUUCGCGGUUAGUGUUACAGCUCAUAAAAGCAGCGUAGACCCAAAGAGUGAGCAGUAGCAAGAUUUAUUGCAAACAGCGAAAGAACAAAGCUUCCACCGCGAGGAACGUGACCCGAGCGAGUUGCCAAUGCCGGCUAGGGCAGCCUGCUUUUAUUCUCUUAUCUGGCCCCACCCACAUCCUGCUGAUUGGUAGAGCCGAGUGGCCUGUUUUGUCAGGGCACUGAUUGGUGCGUUUACAAUCCCUGAGCUAGAUACAAAGGUUCUCCACGUCCCCAUCAGAUUAGUUAGAUACAGAGUUUUGACACACAGGUUCUCCAAGGCCCCACCAGAGCAGCUAGAUACAGAGUGUCGAUAUGUGCAUUCACAAACCUUGAGCUAAACACAGGGUGCUGAUUGGUGUGUUUACAAACCUUGAGCUAGAUACAGAGUGCCAAUUGGUGUAUUUACAAUCCCUGAGCUAGACAUAAAGGUUCUCCACAUCCUCACCAGAGCAGCUAGAUACAGAGUGUCCAUUGGUGCACUCACAAACCUUGAGCUAAACACAGGGUGCUGAUUGGUGUAUUUACAAUCCCUGAGCUAGAUAUAAAGACUCUCCACGUCCCCACCAGACUCAGGAGCCCAGCUGGCUUCACCUAGUGGAUCCCACACCAGGGCUGCAGGUGGAGCUGCCUGCCAGUCCCGCGCCGUGCGCUCACAUUCCCCAGCCCUUGGGUGGUCGAUGGGACUGGGUGCGGUGGAGCAGGGGGUGGUGCUCGUUGGGGAGGCUCGGGCUGCACAGGAGCCCAUGGAGUGGGUGGGAGGCUCAGGCAUGGCGGGCUGCAGGUCCCGAGCCCUGCCCCGAGGGAAGGCAGCUAAGGCUGGGUGAGAAAUCGAGUGCAGCGCCGGUGGGCUGCCACUGCUGGGGGACCCAGUACACCCUCCGCAGCCACUGUCCCGGGUGCUAAGUCCCUCUUUGCCCGGGGCCAGCAGGGCUGGCCGGCUGCUCCGAGUGCGGGGCCCGCCAAGCCCACGCCCACCCGGAACUCCAGCUGGCCCGCAAGCGCCGCACGCAGCCCCGGUUCCCGCUCGUGCCUCUCCCUCCACACGUCCCUGCAAGCUGAGGAAGUGGGCUCCAGCCUUGGCCAGCCCAAAAAGGGGCUCCCACAGUGCAGUGGGGGCGCUGAAGGGCUCCUCAAAUGCCACCAAAGUGGGAGCCCAGGCAGGAGAGGUGCUGAGAGCAAGCGAGGGCUCUGAGGACUGCCAGCACGCUGUCACCUCUCACUAGCACUUUGGGAGGCUGAGGCGGGUGGAUUGCCUGAGGUCAGGAGCUCGAGACCAGCCUGGCCAACAAGGUGAAACCCUGUCUCCACUAAAAAUAAAAAAAAAUUAGCUGGGCGCAGUGGCGGGCACCUGUAAUCCCAGCUACUCAGGAGGAUGAGGUAGGAGAAUCACCUGAAUCUGGGAGGCGGAGGUUUCAGUGAGCCGAGAUCUGGCCAUUGCACUCCAGCCUGGGCAAAAAAAAAGUGAAACUCCAUCUCAAAAAAUAAAAUAUAAAAAAAAAAAGAAAGAAAAAAAUUAUUUAACACCUAUAAUCAGUAAAAUUUGUACAGCUCAAAAUGAAACCCGAAUAUUUUAGGCCUCCCAAUGCAAAACUAGAAAGGACAGAGAUAAGUAAUUCAUUCCAGGUGUCUAAUACGAGAAGGAACUCAGAGUUUCGUGUGUAAUUAUUCAUUACACAUCAUCAUCUUUACUGUGAUAGCACCAGUAAAUGUAGCACUUCAUAGCAUCACUGUGGGGGCCUGCCCUACCUGCCUGGACAUUCAUAACAGCAAAUGGCAAGCCAAAAACAACAUUCCGUAAGGCGCAGAGUUCCUUCUCACUGACAGCUUCAGUGAUCAGUGUAUAUUCUUCAUCAACCGAUGCAGAACUACUAACAGGCUCACAUACUCUGGAAAGUCAUCAUAGAAUGUUCUCCUGCCUUUAGGUUUUCAGAAAAUAAUAGGAAGGGCACGCUACAAGAGUCUAUGAUUUGUUCUUUCUUCUUCUGUUUUUUUUCGAGAGGAAGUCUCAACUCUGUCGCCCAGGCUGGAGUGCAGUAGCGCGAUCUCGGCUCACUGCAAGCUCCGCCUCCCGGGUUCACACCAUUCUCCUGCCUCAGCCUCCCGAGUAGCUGGGACUACAGGCGCCUGCCACCACGCCCGGCUAAUUUUAUUUUUAGUAGAGACGGGGUUUCACCAUGUUUGUUAGCCAGGAUGGUCUCGAUCUCCUUGCCUCGUAAUCCUCCCGCCUCGGCCUCCCAAAGUGCUGGGAUUACAGGCAUGAGCCCCCGCGCCCGGCCUAUGAUUUGUUCUUUCUAAUGUGGUGAUUUCACUGGAAGGCGAGGAUCAACCCCUAGGUGCUCAGAAUUUGGGGGUGAGAGAAAGACAGAUGGAGUUUGAAAACAUAGCAGUUUAGUAGAUUUGACUCUGGAAUGUGUAGUAAGCAAGCCAACUCAAUCAAGCUUCACUUUGAUAUCACACAAAAGAAAAAUACAGUAUUUUCUAAGUCCAAAAUAAACUU
rnacentral:lncRNA from 1 species